GCGGGUGUGGCGGAACUGGCAGACGCACUAGACUUAGGAUCUAGCGCUUCACAGCGUGGGGGUUCGACUCCCUUCACCCGCA
rnacentral:tRNA from 1 species